GAGGAAAAGAAACCAACAGGGAUUGCCCCAGUAAUGGCGAAUGAAGCGGCAAGAGCCCAAAUUUGAAAUCGGGCAACCGAGUUGUAAUUUGGAGACGGGACACUAGAGAGGAGGAAGGCGAUUAAGUGCCUUGGAACAGGCUGCCGUAGAGGGUGAGAGCCCCGUGAAUCGCUGGAGACCGAUCAAUUAGUGCCCGCCGAAGAGUCGAGUUGUUUGGGAAUGCAGCUCUAAGUGGGUGGUAUAUUCCAUCUAAGGCUAAAUAUUAGCGAGAGACCGAUAGCAAACAAGUACAGUGAUGGAAAGAUGAAAAGAACUUUGGAAAGAGAGUGAAAUAGUACGUGAAAUUGUUGAAAGGGAAGGGUAUUUGAUCCGACAUGGUGUUUAGCAGCGGCCCGUUCCUCGUGGAUGGGUGCACCUGGUUUACACUGGGCCAGCAUCGGUUCUGGGAGCCAUAUACGGGGUUCGUGAAUGUGGCCCUUCGAUUCUGUCGGAGGGUGUUAUAGCGCGGACAUCUUGUGGCUAGCCGGGACCGGGGACUGCGGUGACUUGUCACCAAGGAUGCUGGCAGAACGAGCAAAUACCACCCGUCUUG
rnacentral:rRNA from 1 species